rnacentral:rRNA from 1 species
AGAAUCAACGCUGGCGGCGUGCCUCAGACAUGCAAGUCGAACGAUUAAAGCUCUCUUCGGAGAGUGCAUAGAGUGGCGCACGGGUGAGUAACACGUAAGUAAUCUACCCUCGAGUGGGGAAUAACAUCGGGAAACCGAUGCUAAUACCGCAUAAUGCAGCGGCACCGCAAGGUGACAGUUGUUAAAGAUUUAUCGCUUGAGGAGGAGCUUGCGGCAGAUUAGCUAGUUGGUAAGGUAAUGGCUUACCAAGGCUACGAUC